rnacentral:rRNA from 1 species
UUGACCUCGGAUCAAGUAAGGAUACCCGCU